AAAAAGUGCUCCUCUUUAUUUUUUGAACCUGCAAAUUUGCCGAGAGGACACAGUUUGCAAAAAUACAACUGGUUAACUGAUUUGUGCGACAAGGGCAAGUGCGGUCGUUCAGAUACUUUAUUUCUGGGAGUUGUUCCCAUCUUCCGCUGUCGAUUCUGCAGUUUUUUGGUUGUAACAGAUAGUUAAAGCAGAUUAUGUUACUUCAACGUUCAAGCAACCUGAUCCGUCGUGGUCUUAUGACAUCGGCAAGACGUGCAGGAGGUCAUGGCAAACCAACAGCACAAGACGUUCUACCAUUCAAUCCAUUCCAAAACAGGUGGAAGCUUCUUGCCAAGAUGGGACUUUACAUGGGAACUGGUUUUGGAUUACCUUUCUUUGCUGUGUAUUUUCAAUUGAGAAAGAAAUACGGAGAUGAUUAGUUUGAUUAUUAAUUUGUUUCCUUUUCAAUGAACUUUUUGAAUAAUGUGAAAGAAAUAUAGAAAGCAACUUUGUCUUAAACUAGA